rnacentral:tRNA from 1 species
GGAUGGCUCAGCAGCUAAGAGCACUUGACUGUUCUUUCAGAGGACCUGGGUUUGAUUCCCAGCAUCCA